rnacentral:rRNA from 1 species
GAUGAACGCUGGCGGCGUGCCUAAUACAUGCAAGUCGAGCGAACAGAUGAGGAGCUUGCUCCUCUGACGUUAGCGGCGGACGGGUGAGUAACACGUGGAUAACCUACCUAUAAGACUGGGAUAACUUCGGGACACCGGCGCUAAUACCGGAUAAUAUAUUGAACCGCAUGGUUCAAUAGUGAAAGACGGUUUUGCUUUCACUUAUAGAUGGAUCCGCGCCGCAUUAGCUGGUUGGUAAGGUAACGGCUUACCAAGGCGACGAUGCGUAGCCGACCUGAGAGGGUGAUCGGCCACACUGGAACUGAGACACGGUCCAGACUCCUACGGGAGGCAGCAGUAGGGAAUCUUCCGCAAUGGGCGAAAGCCUGACGGAGCAACGCCGCGUGAGUGAUGAAGGUCUUCGGAUCGGAAAACUCUGUUAUUAGGGAAGAACAAAUGUGUAAGUAACUAUGCACGUCUUGACGGUACCUAAUCAGAAAGCCACGGCUAACUACGUG